UUUACUACACUAUUUGAUUAUUUGAGUUCUGUUUAGUCAGAAAAGUUAUUUGGCAGUACUAAAGGCAAGUUGUAUUUUUUACAGUGUGUCGAAGAAUAUCCC